rnacentral:misc_RNA from 1 species
UGAGGGAUCCAUACCGCCGG